UACGUAGGGUGCGAGCGUUGUCCGGAAUUAUUGGGCGUAAAGGGCUCGUAGGCGGUUUGUCGCGUCGGGAGUGAAAUCCACUGGCUUAACUGGUGGCUUGCUUUCGAUACGGGCAGACUGGAGGUAUGCAGGGGAGAACGGAAUUCCUGGUGUAGCGGUGAAAUGCGUAGAUAUCGAGAGGAAUACCUGCGGCGAAGGCGGGUAGCUGGGCCACUACUGACGCUGAGAAGCGAAAGCAUGGGGAGCGAACAGG
rnacentral:rRNA from 1 species